UACGGAGGGUGCAAGCGUUAUUCGGAAUUACUAGGUGUAAAGGGCGUGUAGGCGGUUUAGUAAGUUAGAUGUGAAAUCUCAUAGCUCAACUGUGAGCCUGCAUCUAAAACUAUUAGACUUGAGUAUGGAAGGGGAAAACGGAAUUUCUAGUGUAGCGGUGGAAUGUGUAGAUACUAGAAGGAACACCGAUGGCGAAAGCGGUUUUCUGGUCCAAUACUGACGCUAAGGCGCGAAAGCUAGGGGAGCAAACAGGAUUAGAUACCCUGGUAGUCCUAGCCAUAAACGAUGGUCACUAGGUGUUGGGAAUAUAUUCUCAGUGCUGACGCUAACGCAUUAAGUGACCCACCUGGGGAGUACGGUCGCAAGGCUGAA
rnacentral:rRNA from 1 species